AUUGAACGCUGGCGGCAUGCUUUACACAUGCAAGUCGAACGGUAGCGGGGAAGAAGCUUGCUUCUUCUGCCGACGAGUGGCGAACGGGUGAGUAAUAUAUCGGAACGUGCCAAGUAAUGGGGGAUAACUAUCCGAAAGGAUGGCUAAUACCGCAUACGCUCUACGGAGGAAAGCAGGGGAUCUUCGGACCUUGCGUUAUUUGAGCGGCCGAUAUCUGAUUAGCUAGUUGGUGGGGUAAGAGCCUACCAAGGCAACGAUCAGUAGCGGGUCUGAGAGGAUGAUCCGCCACACUGGGACUGAGACACGGCCCAGACUCCUACGGGAGGCAGCAGUGGGGAAUUUUGGACAAUGGGCGAAAGCCUGAUCCAGCCAUGCCGCGUGUAUGAAGAAGGCCUUAGGGUUGUAAAGUACUUUUGUUAGGGAGGAAAAGCUAUAGGUUAAUACCCUGUAGUCAUGACAGUACCUAAAGAAUAAGCACCGGCUAACUACGUGCCAGCCGCCGCCGUAAC
rnacentral:rRNA from 1 species